CAGAAAAUAGUUUAAAAAACAUUAUCUUUGGGAGAUAAAAUUUAGAUUCUUUCUAUUUUCUGA
rnacentral:tRNA from 1 species